UUAUAGUUUGAUCCUGGCUCAAGAAGAACGCUAGCGGCAGGCUUAACACAUGCAAGUCGAGGGGCAGCAUGUCCAUCAAUGGAUGAUGGCGACCGGCGGAAGGGUGCGUAACGCGUGAGCAACAUGCCCUAUACAGGGAGAUACACCAGGGAAACUUGGUCUAAUAUCCCAUAGCAUUCAUUGAAGGCAUCUUUAAUGAAUUAAAGCUUCGGUGGUAUAGGAUUGGCUCGCGUGACAUUAGCCAGAUGGUGAGGUAACGGCUCACCAUAGCAAUGAUGUCUAGGGGUUUUGAGAGGAAGGCCCCCCACACUGGGACUGAGACACGGCCCAGACUCCUACGGGAGGCAGCAGUGAGGAAUAUUGGACAAUGGAUGGAAAUCUGAUCCAGCCAUGCCGCGUGCAGGAAGACGGCCUUAUGGGUUGUAAACUGCUUUUAUACGGGAGCAAUAAGGGUUACGAGUAAUCCGAUGAGAGUACUGUAUGAAUAAGGAUCGGCUAACUCCGUGCCAGCAGCCGCGGUAAUACGGAGGAUCCGAGCGUUAUCCGGAAUUAUUGGGUUUAAAGGGUGCGUAGGCGGCCAUUUAAGUCAGCGGUGAAAUUUUGCAGCUUAACUGUAACAGUGCCGUUGAUACUGUUUGGCUAGGAUUUGGUUGUAGUGUGCGGAAUGUGUGGUGUAGCGGUGAAAUGCUUAGAUAUCACACAGAACACCGAUUGCGAAGGCAGCACACUAAGUCAUUAUUGACGCUGAGGCACGAAAGUGUGGGGAUCAAACAGGAUUAGAUACCCUGGUAGUCCACACUGU
rnacentral:rRNA from 1 species